rnacentral:rRNA from 1 species
UGGAUCGCCCUUUCUGUUUGAUCCUGCCAGAGGUUACUGCUAUCGAGGUUCGACUAAGCCAUGCGAGUCGAAUGUAGCAAUACAUGGCGAACUGCUCAGUAACACGUGGACAACCUGCCCUUAGGACGGGGAUAAACCCGGGAAACUGGGUAUAAUACCCGAUAGGUCUCGAUUGCUGGAAUGCAUCGAGAUUUAAAGCUCCGGCGCCUAAGGAUGGGUCUGCGGCCUAUCAGGUAGUAGUGGGUGUAGCGUACCUACUAGCCUACGACGGGUACGGGUUGUGAGAGCAAGAGCCCGGAGAUGGAUUCUGAGACGCGAAUCCAGGCCCUACGGGGUGCAGCAGGCGCGAAAACUUUACAAUGCUGGCAACAGCGAUAAGGGAACCUCGAGUGCCAGGUUACAAAUCUGGCUGUCGAGAUGCCUAAAAAGCAUUUCAUAGCAAGGGUCGGGCAAGACCGGUGCCAGCCGCCGCGGUAACACCGGCGGCUCGAGUGGUAACCGUUAUUAUUGGGUCUAAAGGGUCUGUAGCCGGCCGGAUAAGUCUCUUGAGAAAUCUGGCAGCUUAACUGUCAGGCUUUCAGGAGAUACUGUCUGGCUCGAGGCCGGGAGAGGUGAGAGGUACUUCAGGGGUAGGGGUGAAAUCUUGUAAUCCUUGAAGGACCACCAGUGGCGAAGGCGUCUCACCAGAACGGACCUGACGGCAAGGGACGAAAGCUAGGGGCACGAACCGGAUUAGAUACCCGGGUAGUCCUAGCCGUAAACGAUACUCGCUAGGUGUCGGCCACGGUGCGACCGUUGUCGGUGCCGUAGGGAAGCCGUGAAGCGAGCCACCUGGGAAGUACGGCCGCAAGGCUGAAACUUAAAGGAAUUGGCGGGGGGAGCACCACAACGGGUGGA